CGAAUGCCAGCCAGAUGAUGUACAGGAGUCAGACUGCACGAGAUAAGUUGGGCAAGUCAAAAGGGAAAGAGCCCAGACCUACAGCUAAGGUCCCAAAGUGCGUGUUAAGUGGAAAAAGGAUGUGGGAUUUCAAAGACAACUAGGAUGUUGGCUCAGAAGCAGCCACACAUUCAAAGAGUGCGUAAUAGCUCACUAGUCGAGAGGUCCUGCGCCGAAAAUGUCCGGGGCUAAAACACGACACCGAAGCUUAGGAAUGUAACGUAUGUUACAUUGGUAGAGGAGCAUUGUUAACACGAAGAAGCUGUACCGAUAAGGAGCAGUGGAGAGUUAAGAAGAGAGAAUGCCGGAAUGAGUAGCGAGAUGGAGGUGAGAAUCCUCCAGGCCGAAUAUCUAAGGAUUCCGGGGUAAAGCUGAUCUGCCCCGGGUAAGUCGGGGCCUAAGGCGAGGUGGAGACACGUAGCCGAUGGACAACAGGUAGAGAUUCCUGUACUGCAAUAUAACAGAACUGUGGG
rnacentral:rRNA from 1 species